CGUCGACCGGCGCACGGGUGAGUAACGCGUAUCCAACCUUCCCAUUACUGUGGGAUAACCUGCCGAAAGGCAGACUAAUACCGCAUAGUCUUCGAUGACGGCAUCAGAUUUGAAGUAAAGAUUUAUCGGUAAUGGAUGGGGAUGCGUCUGAUUAGCUUGUUGGCGGGGUAACGGCCCACCAAGGCUACGAUCAGUAGGGGUUCUGAGAGGAAGGUCCCCCACAUUGGAACUGAGACACGGUCCAA
rnacentral:rRNA from 1 species